rnacentral:rRNA from 1 species
GAGUUUGAUUAUGGCUCAGAUUGAACGCUGGCGGCAGGCUUAACACAUGCAAGUCGAACGGUAGCAGGAGAAAGCUUGCUUUCUUGCUGACGAGUGGCGGACGGGUGAGUAAUGCUUGGGAAUCUGGCUUAUGGAGGGGGAUAACUACGGGAAACUGUAGCUAAUACCGCGUAACAUCUACGGAUUAAAGAAUGGGACAUUAGCCAUUCGCCAUAAGAUGAGCCCAAGUGGGAUUAGGUAGUUGGUGGGGUAAAGGCCUACCAAGCCGACGAUCUCUAGCUGGUCUGAGAGGAUGACCAGCCACACUGGAACUGAGACACGGUCCAGACUCCUACGGGAGGCAGCAGUGGGGAAUAUUGCGCAAUGGGGGCAACCCUGACGCAGCCAUGCCGCGUGAAUGAAGAAGGCCUUCGGGUUGUAAAGUUCUUUCGGUGGUGAGGAAGGCUUAAGUGCUAAUAGUACUUAAGAUGAC